rnacentral:tRNA from 1 species
GCCUCUAUGGCACAGGGGUAAUGCGUGUCACUCGUAUUAGUAAUCACUUACUUGCGGUGUUAUGACAAGAUCCGCGGUUCGAUUCCGCGUGGAGGCA